rnacentral:rRNA from 1 species
UACGUAGGGGGCAAGCGUUGUCCGGAUUCAUUGGGCGUAAAGAGCGUGUAGGCGGCCAGGUAGGUCGGUUGUGAAAACUGGAGGCUCAACCUUCAGAGGUCGACCGAAACCAUCUGGCUAGAGUGCGGAAGAGGCGAGUGGAAUUCCUGGUGUAGCGGCGAAAUGCGCAGAUAUCAGGAGGAACACCAAUUGCGAAGGCAGCUCGCUGGGACGUAACUGACGCUGAGACGCGAAAGCGUGGGGAGCAAACAGG